rnacentral:misc_RNA from 1 species
GAAAUGCGAUACGUAAUGCGAAUUGCAGAAUUCAGUGAAUCAUCAAAUCUUUGAACGCAACUUGCGCUCUCAGGUAGCCCUGGGAGCAUGCUUCUUUGAGUGUCGUUUCCAACCAAACUCGUCUGCGUACUUUCGGGUACAAGGACGGAAAAUGAGAGUCAGGUUAGUAACUACUGACUUGUCUCUUUAAGUGCCACGCACUUUCGAUCCGCUGGUUGAAAGGUCGCAGGUCGAACCUUUAACUAACUGGCUGAUGUUUGAUAAUUGUCCAAUCGGACAUCCUCAUCAACAUCGGGCGGGAAGGUGAGACUAGCGUUACUUGGGACCCCCGUGUUCCUAGACUGGAGGCAUAGAAUAGUGCUUAACCAACUUUUGAAUUUGACCUCAGAUGAAGCAAGAC